ACAACUCAGUCUGAUUGUCUUUCACCUUUUUUUCUUCACGAAUGAUGUACAUCGAUAUUAGGGUUCAUCGUGUUUUCCAUCUGUUACUAGCUAAAACGAAAAUGAUGUCCAUUUGGGUACUCUCCAAAAACUUUCUUCUUGGCGACAGACGGUGGUGGGAAUUAGGGUUAGCCAUUGUUUUCUAUCUCCGCAAUGAGCAACAAUGGGAUCUAAUCGGGUCAGACGAAUCGUCCUCGAUAACCUUGGUAUCAAGCAGCGUCGUUUCAUAUUUGGUCCUUAACCCUUAGACGUUACGAGUUCUCUUCUUUCAUUGGCGUUAAGAUAUGUCUUAACUCCACCGACGCUAUCAAGCACGACGUCUCAUUCAAUGAUACUCAUCCAACUCCAAGGCAGUUUUCUUUAUCUAUAAAAAGGUAAGCCUUGUACCCAAAAUCAUUCUCACAUUUUUUUUUGAAUUCUCCAGAAAACAAAGUAAAACCCCAAUCAUAGCUAACUCAUAUGGUCUUCUUGGUGAUUUGAACGCUGGUCACUAUUCUUCCACCGCCCAUGUGUUGUUGCUCCGAUUCUGGGAGGCCAGAAAAUUAAAAUACGGUGUUUCAGUCAACCCUCAUGCCAGCCACCAUGAAUGUUCACCGGCUAGCCACGUUCAGGGACCGUCUCCAGCCUGGUUCGCUGUUCAAACUCAGCGGAUUUGACAUCAGUCAGUGUAACCAGAACUUCAGGCUUUCGUACUCACUUAUGACAAUACGGUUCAGUGAUUCAACCAAUAGAGAUGUGCUAACCGGAACAGAUUCUUCCAUUCCUGAAGAAAGUUUCAUGAUUGUUCCGAAAUUACGAUUCGCUUCUUGGCCAACACCAACAUCUGUUCCAGUACAGUGAGUGACAUUUCGUCAAAGAAAAGAGCAAGUUAUGGAGACUAUCAAGAUUGACAGUAAUAUCUCUGUCACUUUGAGUCUGUUCGACUCACAAGCUGUCUCUUUUCACAAGAAACUUGAAGGAUUCCGGGGAUAUCCAAGGGUUGCUGUUGCAAGUAGCACAAACCCAAAGAUGGUAUGAGGACUUUUGUUCUCGACUGCCACCUCGGGAUCACAUGUAUUUUUCGACAAGGCAACUGGGCUAUUCGAUUUUAAGAUGCAUACUGGUUUCCAAAGACAUUGGGAACACCCAUGUUCCUUCAUUGCUGAGAGGCUAUCAAAGGUUGAGCCUCUUACUAUAGCUGAGCUCAAUGAGUUCGUCACCAUUUUCGAGCCUCAAAGUCAGUUUUUACUUUUUUAAUAUUUUUAAAGUUUAUUUUCUGUUUGUGGUUCUGAAAAGUUCAAAAUGUACGACAUUGAAUUUGGUUGCACUGGAAUGGUGACUGAUAUCAAAAUGGAGAAAGGCUAGGCUGGUGUUACGUCUCUUGCUCUAGGUGCACAAAGAAGCUAACAUUGAACGGUCUUAUCCUUGCGUGACCUGCAGUAACACCAACACUGUUGGUGUGCUCAGGUACCGUGUGGAGAUGAGCCUUGCUGAUGACACUGCUGAGGGUCUCUUAGUCAGAUUCGAUGGCGAGAUGACAAAACUACAUAACAUGAGAGCCUAUGAGGCUGGUCAUCUAAUAGCUGGCGAGGGAGUAAACCCAGAAGACCAACCACCCUCUUUUAUUGCAGCCGUGGUUGGUAAGAGAUACAGCUUUCAAGUCAGGGUCAGCAGAUACAAUUUUACUGCAAGCCAUCAAACUUUCACCAACGAGAAUGACCGUAUGCAUGUCCCUGACUUUAUUGCCCAUGUAAGUUGCAAUUUAUAUUACAUUCUUAAUUUCUUAUCCUUCUAAAUUAUGCAAGAAACAUUAUAUAUGUCUCUGUUUUAUCAUGAUGGUGACGAUCAUGAUGGAGAUGAUAUGCCUGGGGCCAUCUCUGUCGUUUCUAAGGUUGAUGGUGGUCGUAACGAGCGUGCUGAAACAUCCAUAGCAGUAGCAUCUCUAAGUGGUCGCCAUCAAGAAACCUUUGGCGUCAAAGUCUUCAAAGGUGGUCAAGAAGCCACAUAAGGAAUAGGUGAAGAUGAGGGUUGUGAUGCGGAUGGCGUACUCGCUAUUUCAAUAAUGAUUAUGUAUUAACGUUGGUUUUUCUUUUAAACUAUGUCCUCUUAUGGAGUUUGGUAUGUUUUCACAAAAUCGAAAACUAUAAUAAAAAUGCGUUUUUGAAUUUUA